AUCGAGCUGAUGAGUCCCAAAUAGGACGAAACGCGCGUCCUGAAU
rnacentral:hammerhead_ribozyme from 1 species